UCGACCGCCUGGGGAGUACGGCCGCAAGGUUAAAACUCAAAUGAAUUGACGGGGGCCCGCACAAGCGGUGGAGCAUGUGGUUUAAUUCGAUGCAACGCGAAGAACCUUACCUGGUCUUGACAUCCACAGAACUUUCCAGAGAUGAGAUUGUGCCUUCGGGAACUGUGAGACAGGUGCUGCAUGGCUGUCGUCAGCUCGUGUUGUGAAAUGUUGGGUUAAGUCCCGCAACGAGCGCAACCCUUAUCCUUUGUUGCCAGCGGUCCGGCCGGGAACUCAAAGGAGACUGCCAGUGAUAAACUGGAGGAAGGUGGGGAUGACGUCAAGUCAUCAUGGCCCUUACGACCAGGGCUACACACGUGCUACAAUGGCGCAUACAAAGAGAAGCGACCUCGCGAGAGCAAGCGGACCUCAUAAAGUGCGUCGUAGUCCGGAUUGGAGUCUGCAACUCGACUCCAUGAAGUCGGAAUCGCUAGUAAUCGUGGAUCAGAAUGCCACGGUGAAUACGUUCCCGGGCCUUGUACACACCGCCCGUCACACCAUGGGAGUGGGUUGCAAAAGAAGUAGGUAGCUUAACCUUCGGGAGGGCGCUUACCACUUUGUGAUUCAUGACUGGGGUGAAGUCGUAACAAGGUAACCGUAGGGGAACCUGCGGUUGGAUCACCUCCUUACCUUAAAGAA
rnacentral:rRNA from 1 species